CAGCACAGGUGCUUGCACCGGGUGGCGAGCGGCGGACGGGUGAGUAAUGCCUAGGAAUCUGCCUGGUAGUGGGGGAUAACGCUCGGAAACGGACGCUAAUACCGCAUACGUCCUACGGGAGAAAGCAGGGGACCUUCGGGCCUUGCGCUAUCAGAUGAGCCUAGGUCGGAUUAGCUAGUUGGUGAGGUAAUGGCUCACCAAGGCGACGAUCCGUAACUGGUCUGAGAGGAUGAUCAGUCACACUGGAACUGAGACACGGUCCAGACUCCUACGGGAGGCAGCAGUGGGGAAUAUUGGACAAUGGGCGAAAGCCUGAUCCAGCCAUGCCGCGUGUGUGAAGAAGGUCUUCGGAUUGUAAAGCACUUUAAGUUGGGAGGAAGGGUCGUUGCCUAAUACGUGACGAUUUUGACGUUACCGACAGAAUAAGCACCGGCUAACUCUGUGCCAGCAGCCGCGGUAAUACAGAGGGUGCAAGCGUUAAUCGGAAUUACUGGGCGUAAAGCGCGCGUAGGUGGUUCGUUAAGUUGAAUGUGAAAUCCCCGGGCUCAACCUGGGAACUGCAUCCAAAACUGGCGAGCUAGAGUAUGGUAGAGGGUGGUGGAAUUUCCUGUGUAGCGGUG
rnacentral:rRNA from 2 species